AUGGUGCACUGCGGAGAACAAGUCACGUGCAGGAAGGGCAAACCCUACCCCUUUCAGCUUUUUAUAAGUGAGCUGACGUGUUCUCAUAAGGAAGUACAAGGGGCACUUUUUUUUUUUUUUUAAUUGCAAGUGGAGUGACCUUCUUAAUGAAAGCUUACAAACAUAUGUUUUGAUGAAAGACUGAAAAUAUUAAAUAAAAGAAGGAAACUUCAGUUUUCUGAAGGAAGUGCUGUGCUUGCAAGGCUGGCUCUAGCAAGACAAGUCUAGCCACUGGAGGAGGAGGACAAAGAAUUGAUAUCAGCAGGCACCAAGAGUUGCUGGUGCAAUAGACCUGGAAGGUAUUGAACAAUGUACUUUUGGGCUUAGCUGUGGUGUGAAAAAAGGAAAGAACUGCCCUGGGACUUUUGGAGCUGCCAUACAAGCUUUGCUGCUGUUGGCUGUAUGCUUUUGAAAGAAGAGAUUGACAUAACCUGCCAAGGAGAGCAAAGACAUUUUCUGCUGACUACACUACAGCUAGUUGUGGAAGGUUGAAUUUAAAAUUUGGGGCUAACCCAGUGUAUUCCUGCAGACUUAAAUCCUCACCAGCCGAUUCAUACAAGUUGGCCCAGUUCAAGCUGGGUCACCUCUUGCUGGAAUCAAGAUGUCUUCACCAAAUGACGUCAGUAUGGAAGAAAUACCACUAGAAGAUGAUGAGCGAGACAGCAUAGAAUACAAGAUCCUAAUGGCCUAUGCCCAGCGGCGGUUGUCUGUCAGUAAAUAUGGGAAACUUCUGAAAAAUGAGGCUAAUGUGCGGAAAUCAUCCUCUUUAACUGGGAGAAAAGUAAAGACUGACUAUCAAAGAGAUAAAGAUGGACUAAGUCAAAGAUUAGUUUAUCAGGGUCUUGUGCCACAACAGCAGAGCAAAAAUCAACCAAAGAAAACCUACUUGCCAGGAUAUUGUAUACCUUUUUUCUGCAGCAGAGCAAAGCAGAAAAAGCCCCCUGAGCAGCCAUUGCGCCAAGGUUGCACAGCACAUUUCUCCAUUUGUGAGGCACAAUCUGAGAGCGUUCAAGAAUGGAAUUCUCAGCAUCAGACAAGUGAAACAGCAGAUGUCAACCACAUUGCAGACAAACUUGCCAAGCUUGUUACUUCCAGAUCCCAGGAAUCUCAUUCAGAUGUAUCAUUCAAGACAAUGUAUCAUGCCCUGUCUCAGGAACAAGGCAAUAGCAAGCUUACUGAUGGAAGUGAGGGUAAGGAACAUGGUGAAGAAAAGAUAAUACAAAGAAUAGUUUCAUUGCUAAGACAAUCAGGGGACCAGCUAGAAGAAACGAUCAAAAAGGACAAAGUUUUCUAUCAGCAUUUUAAAGACAUGCUGUCCUACACCUUCUUCAAGAGGAUCACUGAUUUGUUCCUGGAGGAUGUCUCAGCAGGCUCAACAAGUGAGCCAGAAGGCCAAGUACAAUGCACGAAAGUUGCCUUUAUAAUGGAAGUUGCCACCAGACUUACUGCUGUGGACAACCAUCCUAUGAACCUGGUCUUGGGCUUCGGAUCAAAGUACCUCAGAGAACACUUCAAGCCAUGGAUUCAGGACCAGGGUGGCUGGGUCCAAAAAUCAACAGGAGACAGUCAUGGAGGGUUGCUGAGUAUAAAACACCAUUCCUGGCAUAGACAGUCUCUCUACCACAAAUAGCUGAAGGCUGGGAGAAACACCAGGAAACGUCAUGCUUGCCCUCAUCCUAUACUUCUCCCUAGAAGCGUGCUGUUCGGUGGAGAAGGCUUUGACAUCACUGGAUCAGGAAGAAGUAGAGUAAUCACGACUGAAUUAAUUCUUCAGGGUGCAGGAGCCUUCAGUUAAGGAAUGUGCAGGAUCUUACCACAAUCAGAUGUCAGAAUGAUUAGUAGCUACGUAUUUUUAUUUUUCCCAUGGAAGGUUGGUCUGUUGCACGGGUAACUCUGAUGGGUACAAUUGCACUUCCUUAAAGUUGGUGUUGAUGUAGAAGGGUUCAGUGAAUAUGAAGGCACCUUCAACUCCCCUGGAGCAUUCAGCCCCACGGACAGUGAUUUUAGGUACCUUUCUGAGUAGAGGUGCUUGCUACUACUCCUAUGGAUGGAUGUUAAAGUGCAAACUGGAGAAAAAUAGCAGCGUAUGCAAUCAAGAGCCGCUGGACUGUGAUCAACCAUCACCAAUUGAGGCCAGUGGAUCAUAUUGGUGCCAACUGUUAUCAAUUUCACAGUCUCUUGUCAGAAGACAUAUUGCUGUCAGUCUCCUCUCCUUGCCUGCACCCCCUCCCCCAGCCCCCCUUCUCUGAUUCGAUACCCAAAGUACUGAUGACAGGAGGGUCGGAACUAGAUGAUCUUUAAGGUCCCUUCCAACCCAAACCAUUCUAUGAUUCUAUGAUUUUAUACUUCUGAAAGGGAUUGAGUAAAGCUAAUGAGGGCUUUUUACUCCAGUGCAUUCCCCAUUCCCCCAAGAAAACAGACCUGAUCUACCUACAGAUGCUUUUAAUUUGAACUCUUCUGUUUUAAUCCCCUUCAAGGCACAGCACAGUAGAUAAUGACUUUUACAGCAUUGUUUUGUCCGUUAACGUGGAAGAUACAAACACUGUGAGAGCCUUAUAGUCCAAGAAAUUUAAAAUUUAUCCUGCUGUAUGAGUUUUCCUCCUUAUUCAAAAGGAGGUCAAUGCUAUGUGUAAUCUCAGGGAUUUCUCUAUAAACUGAACUGGCCCUUCAGCCAUUGGAAACAAGUGAUCUGAUUAGAGUUCUUGAAUCUGUGUGCGUGGCAGUGGAAGGAGUAUCAGUGCCUCAUUUAGAGUAGAGGCAGAUGCCAGUGAAACUGUUCAUGAUUUUGAGGCUUGGUUUGUGGCCCAUUUAGUUGAUUACUUUUAGAUUUCCAUCCCAUGCAAAUGCCCGGUGGAGAAAUAGGGAACUCGGAACAUCGGCUGAAGCUGUAAAACCAUGGCAUCGCUUCUGUGACUUUCCAAUACAACCAGGUAACGUUCCCUGAACAGGCUUUCUGCCUUUCAGUAAGAUACCCUUCCAUUACGUGUGCUCGUUCUGUGUGUACAAGUACAUUAACUACAAAGAUUGCACGAAGAAGUUAUUUACAAAUCACAAAUUUGAAUGAAAGUGAUACAAAGCGUUUUAACCGGAUGUGGAAAAUAUGCAAUGCUAUCAAAGAUCAACUAUUUCUCUAAUAAACAUUGAACUUUCAACUCA